AGAGCUAAUACAUGCACCAAAGCUCUGACCUUGCGGAAAGAGUGCAUUUAUUAGAGCAAAACCAAGCGACUUCGGUCGUUUAAUGCUGACUCAGAAUAACUCAGCUGAUCGUACGGUCUUUGAACCGGCGACGUGUCUUUUGAGUAUCUGCCUUAUCAAUUUUCGAUGGUAGUGUAUCUGACUACCAUGGUGUUGACGGGUAACGGAGAAUAAGGGUUCGACUCCGGAGAAGGGGCCUGAGAAAUGGCCACUACGUCUAAGGAUGGCAGCAGGCGCGCAAAUUACCCACUCUCAGUACGAGGAGGUAGUGACGAGAAAUAACGAGACCGUUCUCUUAGAGGCCGGUUAUCGGAAUGGGUACAAUUUAAACCCUUUAACGAGUAUCUAUGAGAGGGCAAGUCUGGUGCCAGCAGCCGCGGUAAUUCCAGCUCUCAAAAUGCAUAGAACCAUUGCUGCGGUUAAAAAGCUCGUAGUUGAAUCUUUGCCAGAGACUUGGUCGACUCCUUUGAGCGCGUACUAAGUUCUUUGGCUUUUACCGUCGGUUUUCUUGUUGUCGCCUUUAUUGGUGGUGGCAAGUGGCUGACAAUUUUACUUUGAACAAAUCA
rnacentral:rRNA from 1 species